CGGGUGAGUAACACGUGAGUAAUCUGCCCCUGGCUUUGGGAUAGCCACCGGAAACGGUGAUUAAUACCGGAUAUGACCACUUCACGCAUGUGAUGGUGGUGGAAAGUUUUUCGGCCAGGGAUGUGCUCGCGGCCUAUCAGCUUGAUGGUGAGGUAAUGGCUCACCAUGGCUUCGACGGGUAGCCGGCCUGAGAGGGUGACCGGUCACACUGGGACUGAGACACGGCCCAGACUCCUACGGGAGGCAGCAGUGGGGAAUAUUGGACAAUGGGCGGAAGCCUGAUCCAGCAACGCCGCGUGAGGGAUGACGGCCUUCGGGUUGUAAACCUCUUUCGGUGGGGACGAAGCGCAAGUGACGGUACCCACUAAAGAAGCACCGGCCAACUACGUGCCAGCAGCCGCGGUAAUACGUAGGGUGCGAGCGUUGUCCGGAAUUAUUGGGCGUAAAGGGCUCGUAGGCGGUUUGUCGCGUCGGGAGUGAAAACGCCGUGCUUAACACGGCGCUUGCUUCCGAUACGGGCAGACUAGAGGUAUUCAGGGGAGAACGGAAUUCCUGGUGUAGCGGUGAAAUGCGCAGAUAUCAGGAGGAACACCGGUGGCGAAGGCGGUUCUCUGGGAAUGACCUGACGCUGAGGAGCGAAAGUGUGGGGAGCGAACAGGAUUAGAUACCCUGGUAGUCCACACCG
rnacentral:rRNA from 1 species